GCGCGCGUUGUAUUUAUUAGCGCCGACUGCUGUCUCCGCGUUAAGUCGUCGGCGGGAGCGAAAUCGGCCUAAACGACGCUGUUUUUAGGGCGUAACUGUUUAAACACGCGUCGGAUUUUUGUUGAAUUUAAUGAGGAAGAGGAAAGAUCAAUAUCCACAGUGGUUUUAGGAUAUGGUCGUAGGUUUUCCUUUCGGAUCAUAGGACUCAACGCACGCCGGUUAACGUGACAGAUCGUCCGAGUGAGAGUUCUGGCAAAGAUCCGCCACGAGUGAUAUAAUCCUCCCUUUCACCUGAUUGCUUGACCCAGAGAGCCCGGCCUCCGACUUGGCACUGGGACGCCCUCGUCUGUGGCACUCGCUCGCCGGCCGGCACCCGGGACGUCGCCGCCAUCAUCCGCCUCUAUGCUAAAUCAAAUGACAAAUCCAGACAUGUGGAGUUUGUGACCUCGAAGCCCAGACUGCAUCCACGAAGAGGAAGUGAAGGAAGUGAAGAUAAAGAAGGAAGUGAAAGAAGGAGAAGAAGACUAAGGAAGUGAAAGAAGUCGAAAUAAAUCAAGGAAGUGAAGUGGAAGAAGGCGAGGAAGA